ACUGGGACUGAGACACGGCCCAGACUCCUACGGGAGGCAGCAGUAGGGAAUCUUCGGCAAUGGGGGCAACCCUGACCGAGCAACGCCGCGUGAGUGAAGAAGGUUUUCGGAUCGUAAAGCUCUGUUGUAAGUCAAGAACGGGUGUGAGAGUGGAAAGUUCACACUGUGACGGUAGCUUACCAGAAAGGGACGGCUAACUACGUGCCAGCAGCCGCGGUAAUACGUAGGUCCCGAGCGUUGUCCGGAUUUAUUGGGCGUAAAGCGAGCGCAGGCGGUUUGAUAAGUCUGAAGUUAAAGGCUGUGGCUCAACCAUAGUUCGCUUUGGAAACUGUCAAACUUGAGUGCAGAAGGGGAGAGUGGAAUUCCAUGUGUAGCGGUGAAAUGCGUAGAUAUAUGGAGGAACACCGGUGGCGAAAGCGGCUCUCUGGUCUGUAACUGACGCUGAGGCUCGAAAGCGUGGGGAGCGAACAGGAUUAGAUACCCUGGUAGUCCACGCCGUAAACGGUGGAUGCUGGAUGUGGGGCCCGUUCCACGGGUUCCGUGUCGGAGCUAACGCGUUAAGCAUCCCGCCUGGGGAGUACGGCCGCAAGGCUAAAACUCAAAGAAAUUGACGGGGGCCCGCACAAGCGGCGGAGCAUGCGGAUUAAUUCGAUGCAACGCGAAGAACCUUACCUGGGCUUGACAUGUUCCCGACGGUCGUAGAGAUACGGCUUCCCUUCGGGGCGGGUUCACAGGUGGUGCAUGGUCGUCGUCAGCUCGUGUCGUGAGAUGUUGGGUUAAGUCCCGCAACGAGCGCAACCCUCGCCCUGUGUUGCCAGCACGUCAUGGUGGGAACUCACGGGGGACCGCCGGGGUCAACUCGGAGGAAGGUGGGGAUGACGUCAGAUCAUCAUGCCCCUUACGUCCAGGGCUUCACGCAUGCUACAAUGGCCGGUACAACGGGAUGCGACACGGCGACGUGGAGCGGAUCCCUGAAAACCGGUCUCAGUUCGGAUUGGAGUCUGCAACCCGACUCCAUGAAGGCGGAGUCGCUAGUAAUCGCGGAUCAGCAACGCCGCGGUGAAUGCGUUCCCGGGCCUUGUACACACCGCCCGUCAAGUCAUGAAAGUGGGUAGCACCCGAAGCCGGUGGCCCAACCUUUUUGGGGGGAGCCGUCUAAGGUGAGACUCGUGAUUGGGACUAAGUCGUAACAAGGUAGCCGUACCGGAAGGUGCGGCUG
rnacentral:rRNA from 1 species